UCAGGACGAACGCUGGCGGCGUGCUUAACACAUGCAAGUCGAACGGUAAGGCCCUUCGGGGUACACGAGUGGCGAACGGGUGAGUAACACGUGGGUAAUCUGCCCUGCACAUCGGGAUAAGCCUGGGAAACUGGGUCUAAUACCGAAUAGGACCACAGAACACAUGUCCUGUGGUGGAAAGCUUUUGCGGUGUGGGAUGGGCCCGCGGCCUAUCAGCUUGUUGGUGGGGUGAUGGCCUACCAAGGCGACGACGGGUAGCCGGCCCUGAGAGGGUGUCCGGCCACACUGGGACUGAGAUACGGC
rnacentral:rRNA from 1 species